AUAGAUAUCCAAAAAUUAGGUAAAAUUGUAUCAGAAAUUUAAGAAUCCCAAGUGUGGUGAGUAGAAAGAACUAUAUAUGUUUAUUAGCGCAUCACUUUAUCUUAAAUUGGGUAAAAAUAACUUAAUCAAAAUAGAUGCAUUCGAACGUAAUUUUCCAUAACUAAUAUUAAAAUACUAUGAAUGGGGAAAGAAGCAAUAGUGGUGAGUAUUCUUUUACUUUGUCCCAACUUUUCAAAUUUAUUUCAACUCAAAUUCGGUUCAAAAUUUCAAUAAAUAAGAGUCAACAAUUGAGAAUGUAAAAAAAAAAUCAAGUAAAAUUAUUGAGAGUUUAAGAAAUUCCAACUGUGGAAGUAACUGGUGCAAGACAUUAGAGCCAACAUGGAGGAGAGGAAUGAGUGAGGUUAUGGCAGGACGUCAAAUAUUCAUCGGCUCUCCAGAUUGGCCAAAGUUCCUGUUCUGAAUUUCUGAAGUUCAUUUAAAAUGCAUGCUAUUAUGUGCAUAGACAUCAGUGUGGCUAUAUACCUUUCUACACAGUAAACCUUCAUACCUUUCUCGGAGUUUCUUGUUUUUCGUUAAUGAUUUCAUAUAUAGGAAGGGCAAACAUAGAGCGAGGGCCACACAAAAGGACGAUUAUACCAUUGCUUUGCGAUGCUACAACUAAAUCCACUACUUUCACUACACGAUGGAGAUGAUGAUGACGUAUACAACCUUACUCCUACCUUUAUGAAAGUAAGAGCAAAGAGUAGAAGUAGGAGGCAAUCAUAUGAAAUAUAAAUGGCCUGAAAAUUAACUCUAUGCUUUGGCAUCCUAAAGCGAAACCGUCCUUUUCGUUCUUGUUUUCGAGGACGAAAAGGACGAUGGUGACGUGUCGGCGAUGAAAAGCAGGGGAAAAGGUGGAAUUUCAUUAUUUUUCGAUGGAAAAAUCUUGCACGAGUUAGUCCAUGCUUUCGGUCAAAAAUGUAUUCCCGCAAAAACAACAACAGCGGAGGAAAUAAUAAAAAAAAAAAACUCUCAGAUUCCACCUGCUGACCAAAUUAUGGUAGGACCACGACUCGCGAAUAAUUUUCACCAGGAUAUGGUUUGUGUCGUAAAAAAAAACAACAACAACAAAACAAA